AUACGGAGGGUGCAAGCGUUAUUCGGAAUCACUGGGCGUAAAGCGCGCGCAGGCGGCUAUUUAAGUUGGAUGUGAAAGCCUACGGCUCAACCGUAGAACUGCAUCCAAAACUAUUUAGCUAGAGUGUGGGAGAGGAAGAUGGAAUUAGUUGUGUAGGGGUAAAAUCCGUAGAGAUAACUAGGAAUACCAAAAGCGAAGGCAAUCUUCUGGAACACUACUGACGCUGAGGCGCGAAAGCGUGGGGAGCAAACGGGAUUAGAAACCCUAGUAGUCC
rnacentral:rRNA from 1 species